UAGGGAAUCUUCCGCAAUGGGCGAAAGCCUGACGGAGCAACGCCGCGCGAGCGAAGAAGGCCUUCGGGUCGUAAAGCUCUGUUGUCAGGGAAGAACAAGUACCGGAGUAACUGCCGGUACCUUGACGGUACCUGACCAGAAAGCCCCGGCUAACUACGUG
rnacentral:rRNA from 1 species